rnacentral:other from 1 species
AAAUGCCUGAGAUGUUAGUUAUUUCUGAUAAAUUCAACCACUGGAUUUAAUACGGGAGCUUGAGUUUCGCUGUAGAUGGCAUGCCUGUUUAUGGACGUCAAAAGCAGAGAGCAGAGCACCCACCUGGUUGUAACUGGGUAUGAAUUUAAAGAAGACGGCAUCUUGGGUAUAAA